GGAGACGUGGGAGAGUGGUUUAAUCCAGCGGUCUUGAAAACCGCCGAAGGGCAACCUUCCGUGAGUUCGAAUCUCACCGUCUCCGCCA
rnacentral:tRNA from 1 species